rnacentral:piRNA from 1 species
UGUUCUGUCAUUUUGGGCCUACGGUGAGGC